GAUCCUGGCUCAGGACGAACGCUGGCGGCGCGCCUAACACAUGCAAGUCGAACGAGGGAGAGGAAGCUUGCUUCCUCAAUCGAGUGGCGAACGGGUGAGUAACGCGUGAGGAACCUGCCUCAAAGAGGGGGACAACAGUUGGAAACGACUGCUAAUACCGCAUAAGCCCACAGGUCGGCAUCGACCAGAGGGAAAAGGAGCAAUCCGCUUUGAGAUGGCCUCGCGUCCGAUUAGCUAGUUGG
rnacentral:rRNA from 1 species